rnacentral:miRNA from 1 species
CCAGUUAAAUUUGAAUUUCAGGUAAAUAAGGAAUAAUAUUUUAGCAUAAGUAUGCCCUCAUGCAAAAUUUGGGACAUAUUUAUACUAAAGAAUCUAUUCAUUGCUUAUCUGGAAUUCACAUUAAUAAGGCAUCCUGU